rnacentral:piRNA from 1 species
UACAUUUUUGUUUGAUCUGUGUUGCACC